rnacentral:rRNA from 1 species
ACACGUGGGCAACCUGCCUGUAAGUUGGGGAUAACUCCGGGAAACCGGGGCUAAUACCGAAUGAUAGAAUGUGGCGCAUGCCACGCUUUUGAAAGAUGGUUUCGGCUAUCGCUUACAGAUGGGCCUGCGGUGCAUUAGCUAGUUGGUAGGGUAAUGGCCUACCAAGGCAACGAUGCAUAGCCGACCUGAGAGGGUGAUCGGCCACACUGGGACUGAGACACGGCCCAGACUCCUACGGGAGGCAGCAGUAGGGAAUCUUCCGCAAUGGACGAAAGUCUGACGGAGCAACGCCGCGUGUAUGAAGAAGGUUUUCGGAUCGUAAAGUACUGUUGUUAGAGAAGAACAAGGAUAAGAGUAACUGCUUGUCCCUUGACGGUAUCUAACCAGAAAGCCACGGCUAACUACGUGCCAGCAGCCGCGGUAAUACGUAGGUGGCAAGCGUUGUCCGGAUUUAUUGGGCGUAAAGCGCGCGCAGGCGGUCUUUUAAGUCUGAUGUGAAAGCCCCCGGCUUAACCGGGGAGGGUCAUUGGAAACUGGAAGACUGGAGUGCANAAGAGGAGAGUGGAAUUCCACGUGUAGCGGUGAAAUGCGUAGAUAUGUGGAGGAACACCAGUGGCGAAGGCGACUCUCUGGUCUGU